CACAAUACAAACACGCUCACAAACGAUUAAAAGGCGCAUGACAAAAUUUAAGAACUCACACAGGAGAGAAGCAGAGUUGUGAAAAUCAUGUGGCUGAACCAAUCCUCUUCAAUUCCUGUCAAGAAAAAUAAAAAAAAUGUCAAGAAAGGAAUAAAAUACUGAUGAACCCUAAUUUCCUUUCCUCAUUAAAGCACACUUUUUUUUGGCACUGGAAGGAUUUGCAUCCAAGGUUCGGUGGAUGCAGCCUAUGAUUCUUACUAACAAUAACAUUGGCGUCGGAUUAUGUUGCUCCCAUCGGCGACGAAACAGUUCUCGCUGGCGAAGUCUUCAACGUUCCACGACGUGCAAACACGAAAAGGGUUUCCGUGAAAUCAUGUGCGGCUGCUUCCAUUGUUUGUGUUGAGUUCUUCCAGGUCGUGAAUGAGACAUUGUACAAAACAAUCACUAUAACAUGAAGGCCUUGGUUAAUUGAAUGGUUGAUGAUGAUUAUUUUCCAGAUGUGAUGCUAAGUGUUUUGACUAAGCUUUGCAGAGAGUUUCAGUGGAGAGUGACUCGGUGGUCACUGAUGUUCUUGCUUGCGAUGGUGUUGAGUGUGGCUUCGGCCGCAUGAUCGUCGAGCUUUGAGGAGUCGGACCAAAUCUGUUCGGAUCUUAAUCUGCUCUGCAAAUCUGUUUGGACCUCUAUGCCUUUUCAUGUAUUCCAGAAGAAAGAUUAUGCAUUCCCCGGGGUUCAACUUUAUGCAUUGCACUGGGUACAACUUUUCUGUCUCUCUAGCUAAUCUAAUUGCUCCUCUUAAUAAUGAUUGAUUGGGUUAGUUAUUCCUUGCUUUUUGUAUACUUUUAAGCUCAUUAGCAAAGUUUGAAGCGAUAUUUUUUAUAAUUGAACCAGUUGAAUUUUUAUCAGAUAAAUAUUGAGUGUGUGCAAUCUCUUAUUUGAGCCAGUGAUUAACCUGCAGAAAUUAAAGACUAUUAUUUUAGGCAUAGCCAUACA